CCUACGGGUGGCAGCAGUGGGGAAUAUUGGGCAAUGGAGGAAACUCUGACCCAGCAACGCCGCGUGAAGGAUGAAGGUCUUCGGAUUGUAAACUUCUGUCGUGAGGGAUGAAGAAUGACGGUACCUCGUAAGAAAGCCCUGGCAAACUACGUGCCAGCAGCCGUGGCAAUACGUAGGGGGCGAGCGUUGUCCGGAAUGACUGGGCGGAAAGGGAGUGUAGGGGUGAUAGUAAGUUAUGUAGGAAAGCCCAGGGUUCAACCGCGGAAUUGCACAUAAAACUGGUAAGCUGGAGUGAGGGAGAGGUAAGUGGAAUUCCAGGUGAAGCGGUGGAAUGCGUAGAUAUCGGGAGGAACACCAGAGGCGAAGGCGACUUACUGGACUGUAACUGACGCUGAGGCUCGAAAGCGUGGGGAGCAAACAGGAUUAGAUACCCCGGUAGUC
rnacentral:rRNA from 1 species